rnacentral:misc_RNA from 1 species
UUGGAUCGUGCUAUUGAUGCAGAAGAAGAACAGCACAGGGAUUUCCUGCGGCUGAAUCAUAUUGAAGGAUAUCAUGAAUUGUCAUCAAAAACACAAAUAUACUUGUCAACUGCUGUUGCUAGGUGGGACGCUGACUUCUACAUUAAAGUUGAUGAUGAUGUACACAUAAAUCUUGGUAUGGUUGGCUCUACUUUGGCACGUCAUAGAUCAAAACCCCGUGUUUAUAUUGGUUGUAUGAAAUCUGGACCUGUUCUAUCACAGAAAGGUGUCAAGUACCA